rnacentral:lncRNA from 1 species
CUGAUACAAGGCCAUAAGAAUGCAAUGACAUGGAUGAAAAGAAGGUAAAAGAGGUCUCAGAAAAAUAGAUUGAAGGGAGGUCAGCAAUAGAAUUGAAGAGUGGCAUAAGGGAUUAGGAUGACUUGGUGUAAGAGCAAUGUUGCCUGGGGGAGUUUGCAUUUUGAAUGUAGCAGGAGAUUGAAGGAUGGAGGACAGCAAGACUGAACGGCCUUGAGUCUGAGCUUUUAAGCAGAGUCACUGUAAACCUUAAAGCAUAUCAGCCACUGUGCUGUCUCCACCUGAAAUCCCACCAAGCAGGUUGUCUCUGUUGUUUAGUGUCACAAGUUAAAGGAUAAUGAAAAACUACUUGGCAUUUUUGAGAGACUGAAAUUGGAGACUGCCCAUUUUUCACCCACUUGAGAAAAGCUGAUUAUUUCUCAGAAACAUUGGCAACAUCCUGCAUUGACUGAGUCUGAGUCUUUCAUUUUCAAGGGUGAAGAACAUCCAGUCCCCAAAGAGGACACAGGCUGAAGUAGUAAAGGGAGGCACAAGAAGAGGUCAUGUGAAUGCACAGCAGGAAGGUAGAUCUGCAAACCAGAAAGAGAGCUCUCACCAGAACAAGACCAUGCUGGUAUCCCGAUCUGAGACUUCCAGCCUCCAGAACAGUGAGAAAAUAAAUUUCAGCUGUUUAAGUCACCCAGUCUAUGAUAUUUUAUUAAAACAGUCUGAACUAACUAAGACACACACUCC